rnacentral:rRNA from 1 species
UGUAGCCACGCCACCCUGGGCGUGACUGAUCUCGACUGCUCAGCAGGGUUGGGCCUUGUUAAUUCUUGGAUGGGGUUAACUCCUGGGAAUACUAGGUGCAGUGGCUAUGC